GGCUCUCCAGCUGUUGCAAAACUCCCAUCAUGCCCAGACUGCCUACAGCUAGCAGCCUACAGCAGGGCAUGGUGGGAGUUGUAGUUUUACAACAGCUGGAGACCCGCAGAUUGGCCAUGCCUGGUCUAAAAUCUGGGAGGGGGAUCUUUGCAGAGUGGGUGGGGGUUGUGCU